UACGGAGGGUGCAAGCGUUAUCCGGAUUCACUGGGUUUAAAGGGUGCGUAGGUGGGCAAGUAAGUCAGUGGUGAAAUCUCCGGGCUUAACCCGGAAACUGCCAUUGAUACUAUUUGUCUUGAAUACUGUGGAGGUCAGCGGAAUAUGUCAUGUAACGGUGAAAUGCUUAGAUAUGACAUAGAACACCAAUUGCGAAGGCAGCUGGCUACACAAAUAUUGACACUGAGGCACGAAAGCGUGGGGAUCAAACAGG
rnacentral:rRNA from 1 species